AGCAAGAAAGCUGACAGGGAGGAAGAGAAGCAAGGAAAGGCACCCAGAGAAGAAGGUUGAGUGGUGGUGAUGGUAGUGUGCUUCUGAUGAGUUGAAGUCACAUGGAGUGUGCCCCACUAAUCAUCUUAAAUCUUGGGAGGAGACCACUAUGCAGAGAUGGCCUGGAUUCUGCCAUGUAAAUCAAAGAAGAGAGGGCCUAACUCAGCUGCCUAGCCUGGAUCACCUGGAACCCAUUAGGAUACAGGAUCAUAAACACCUCUAUUUUCCCUUCAGAGAGAGACCAGAACCACUGGAGUUAAGCUACCUGCAUAAGAGUUGAGUGCGAUCAGCUGUACUUAAUCUUUAAAUGUCCAACCCACUGAUAACCUUUGGUUUGCUUUGAUAACUAUGAAAUAAAUUCUCACUGCAUUGGA
rnacentral:lncRNA from 10 species